rnacentral:rRNA from 1 species
GGAAGGUAAAAGUCGUAACAAGGUCUCCGUUGGUGAACCAGCGGAGGGAUCAUUACUGAGUUUACGCUCUAUAACCCUUUGUGAACAUACCUAUAACUGUUGCUUCGGCGGGUAGGGUCUCCGCGACCCUCCCGGCCUCCCGCCUCCGGGCGGGUCGGCGCCCGCCGGAGGAUAACCAAACUCUGAUUUAACGACGUUUCUUCUGAGUGGUACAAGCAAAUAAUCAAAACUUUUAACAACGGAUCUCUUGGUUCUGGCAUCGAUGAAGAACGCAGCGAAAUGCGAUAAGUAAUGUGAAUUGCAGAAUUCAGUGAAUCAUCGAAUCUUUGAACGCACAUUGCGCCCGCCAGCAUUCUGGCUGGCAUGCCUGUUCGAGCGUCAUUUCAACCCUCAAGCUCUGCUUGGUGUUGGGGCCCUACAGCUGAUGUAGGCCCUCAAAGGUAGUGGCGGACCCUCCCGGAGCCUCCUUUGCGUAGUAACUUUACGUCUCGCACUGGGAUCCGGAGGGACUCUUGCCGUAAAACCCCCCAAUUUUCCAAAGGUUGACCUCGGAUCAGGUAGGAAUACCCGCUGAACUUAAGCAUAUCAAUAAGCGGAGGA